UGUCCUAACCGCCUUCUGCUCAGCACGCUCUGAAUGGUCUCCUCCACUCGCUGAGUGUGAGCCUGCAUCCAGACCACCCAGUCCCGAGUUGCAGGAAUAUUUAAUUUGGGUGCCACAAAGAUUUCCUAACCUAUGUAUUCUAAACGGAGCUCACGUUCUCUCUCCAAACUUCCCAUAUCCCUUCGGAGCUACUGCAUGGCUACAGUUUGGCGGUGAGCUCCCCACCCUUUAAGCCUCAGGAGCCGUAUUAAUUCCGUUACUUGUCUGGUUUUCACUCCCCGCACGCUCUGGCUACCCCAGGGCCGCCCACCGGCGUCCUCCCUACCGGAUUACCGCAGUUACCUGCGCGCUGGUCUCUCGGCCUCGGAUUUUGACCCUCUGGGAUCUCGACUCCGCAACCAGCUAGGUAUUUUAUCAGGGGCCACUCUUCUGAUCUUUUCCUACCUGAACUGCUUUCAGUUUUCGGAAAGUUCUCUCUGGCUUCUGCAGCACUCCAGUCUCCUGGAGGCUGUGGCUUCCUUCCCUUUCCCCACCUCCCUCCCCAAAGUGUGGGCUAGAGGCUUCCGACGAACCCCUCACUCCACGGGGCAUUCAUCCCUAUACCGCCGACUCCUGUCCUCCAGCUUGACUGUUAACAUCCCUCGCCAACCCUUCGGAGUGAGGAUUACACCCGGUUUACCACCGUCCCCAGUUCCUAGAACGGUCAUGUCAGUAUUGGUCUGAGCCAAAGAUCUCUUUUGGGAUAUACAGUGAUGGCCACAGCAACUUCAAAAUAUGGAGUAAUCUUGGGUAUCAACUGAUAGCUUCAUUUUGUGUUGCUGCUUUUUUCAGUUUUGAACUCCUCUCUUAAUAACAAGCUUUUCUAUAAAAAUAAAACAUUUUUAAAUGGUA